GACGAACGCUGGCGGCGUGCCUAAUACAUGCAAGUAGAACGCACAGUUUAUACCGUAGCUUGCUACACCAUAGACUGUGAGUUGCGAACGGGUGAGUAACGCGUAGGUAACCUGCCUGGUAGCGGGGGAUAACUAUUGGAAACGAUAGCUAAUACCGCAUAAUAUUGAUUAUUGCAUGAUAAUUAAUUGAAAGGUGCAAUUGCACCACUACCAGAUGGACCUGCGUUGUAUUAGCUAGUAGGUGAGGUAACGGCUCACCUAGGCGACGAUACAUAGCCGACCUGAGAGGGUGAUCGGCCACACUGGGACUGAGACACGGCCCAGACGCCUACGGGAGGCAGCAGUAGGGAAUCUUCGGCAAUGGACGAAAGUCUGACCGAGCAACGCCGCGUGAGUGAAGAAGGUUUUCGGAUCGUAAAGCUCUGUUGUAAGAGAAGAACGGGGGUGAGAGUGGAAAGUUCACACUGUGACGGUAUCUUACCAGAAAGGGACGGCUAACUACGUG
rnacentral:rRNA from 1 species